GGGCGGAUAGCUCAGCCGGGAGAGCAUCGGCCUUACAAGCCGGGGGUCACAGGUUCGAAUCCUGUUCCGCCUACCA
rnacentral:tRNA from 1 species